rnacentral:rRNA from 1 species
UACGUAGGUGGCAAGCGUUGUCCGGAAUUAUUGGGCGUAAAGAGCUCGUAGGCGGUCUGUCGCGUCGGAUGUGAAAACCCAGGGCUCAACCCUGGGCCUGCAUUCGAUACGGGCAGACUAGAGUGUGGCAGGGGAGACUGGAAUUCCUGGUGUAGCGGUGAAAUGCGCAGAUAUCAGGAGGAACACCGGUGGCGAAGGCGGGUCUCUGGGCCAAUACUGACGCUGAGGAGCGAAAGCGUGGGGAGCGAACAGG